CAUGAUUUGUACUUACAUAUACACAUAGGUUCAGAAGAACUUACUAUCUAGUUGGCCUCUUCUCUGUUUCAUUAAAACAUCAGUUACCUUUGUUGGAUCACGAAGUGUGAGUCUCACCACCAUGCUGGUACCUUCAGCGAUUACCUGUGUUAUAAAUCUCAUGUUCCAUUCACAGUAGUAAGUGCCAAUAAGUAUCAGAAAUGUUGACAGCCAUAGUGCAGCUGAGUUUAGAAGCAACUAUGACAACAUAAGGAAGUGAGGGUAAAUCACGAGAACACCUAAGGUGGCCAGCUCCUUCACGUGUGCCUGGGACUUGCUUGGGUUUAGCACUGAAAACUCCCACAUCUAGGGAAACCCUCAGUCCCAGGCACAUACUCACUCUUUCCUUAAUAUCACUAGAGAAAAGGUAAGAACUUUCAAGGGCAUGAGGCUACCUUUAAGGGCAUCAGUCCCCAAAAUAUUUUUACAUCACUAGCUAAUGGCUAGUUCCUCCAAGCUUGCUAAAAGGCUAGGAAGUCCAGAAAUACCUUACUUAAAGGUGUUAACUUUAAGAAGAGUUGGCAGUAAUCAAGCAAAUUAGUGAGCAGUGUAUAAAAGCUCACUCUUGAAACCUGUUUUCAGACAUAUCUUCUAAAGGUUCUUCUAGCUUUGUCCGGUUCUAUAGUAUUUUACUGUAUUCUCUUUUUGCAAUUAAUCCAGUUUUGUAUGUCUUUUUUUUUUUUUUUUAGGUGAAAAUAUUCUAUGCCAACUGUUUUCCACAGUCUUGCAUUAUAUACUGAAACAAAGACUGCCAGCUGGAGAGACAGCCCUCUGAUUACAAAGGCCCAGAAUGUUACUUUUAACUGUGCUCCACCAGGAGGUCUGGCCUUGGGAAAAGAUGGUGAAAGUAAUAUUCUCAGAUAUGAACAUUUUUUAUUCUGCCUACAAUGCUGUGAUCUAGUUCAACAACUGCAGAACUGUUUUCAUCUUAAUCUCUGUAGUUUUUCUUUCUUUACUCUUUUGUAUAAAAGGUUAGUGGCACAGCUUCACUAUCACUAAUAAAAAGAUACAAGUAUGCCUUUAAAGUCAGGGUUGGAAAAGCAAAAAUGAGGAGUGAGGUUAAACUGGUCUAAGAAAGUACUAAUUUGGGUUCUGCAUUUUGUCAAACAGUGAAAGGUUUUUUAAAAAAUUCAAAACUCAUGCAUGUUACCUACUUGUUACGUGUGAAUUAUUUCUCACAAUUUUAAUUAAUCUGUGUGUAUAUCAGUUAUAUAAAGGAAUGGAUUUCCACAUUCUUAAAGCAGGAACCUAUAUUCACCAGAAAAGGACCCUAUUGUUUCUCACCAAAUUUUGUUUCAGCUUGAACAAUUCAACACUGGAAAUAGUAAGAGUGGCAAACAAAUGUUUUCUUACGGACUUACUGAGAAAAGAAAAACCUUACUGGAAGAACAAAGACUUAGUAAAAUUUCUAUUGCUACAGACAAAUGCUAAAAACCAACUUUAAAAUAACAGCAUUAUAAAGGGUAGAACUUAAUACAGAACCAGAAAUAUGGCAAGUUACCUAGUGAUUAACAUUGUAAAAUAGUCAAAAACUUCAAAGCCACAGAGAAAGGAAAACAAUUAUGAAAUGGAAAAUAUAUAAUAUUUAAGUAUUUUUAUAAUUCUAAAACUUCACUUUUGUCCUUAAAUCAAUAUAUUACGGAUUUCAUUGUUCAAUAAAUUACCAUCUUUAAUUAAAAAUAAGAAGUAAAUCAAAGAGCAUAUUUUGGAGCAACUAAGAGCUGUUACUUUUUGGAGGGUAAAAGAGUAUUUUUCUUGAAAAUUUUUUGAAGAAAAAUCUAAAAGCCCUCUAAUGUUGAGUUAAUAUAGCUUUCUGACCCCCAUCAUCAAUGGCAUUAUUCCUCCAAGGGACUCUUAACAUCUAAGCAACAGUGAAGUUCUGGGUCCAUUAUGGAUCUCAUGGCACCAAACCAACUGACACUGAAGUCAAGUUAAUAUACUCCAGCGAGAUCACCUGUGGGUCAAAGAUGGCCCAGAGAAUUUUGGAAAAUCCAUUUAUGUUGAGCAAAGCUCUGAAUCACCUUCAAUCAGGCUGUCAAAUACAGAAAAAUUUGGUCUUGUAGUAGUAUUUCCCAGGGUAACUUAAGCAACAAACUUACACCAGAGGAAGAAUUAAAGAGGCAGCAAUCUAGUAUUAUCAACAAAAACAACAAAGUUAACCCUAAUUUAGUACAUCCCAGAGUCCGCUGGAUGUAUAAUAAUUUAGUAACGGGGUAUAUGACAGAGCUUUCUUUGAUGAUAACGAAUUCUGGCUGUGAUUCUGUCACCAAGUUGCCAAAAAAUGGUAUACCAACUGAACUGCCAAAUGGCAGAUUAAGAAAAUUAAUGUAUUCCGAUGGUCUGUCCAUGAAAGGAAAAUGUAUACAGACAAAUUAAGAACAUUUUACCAAGAUCUGAGAUUCAAUGGAACAAUUGUUUUAACACUGUUAGAAUGACCCCAACUGUUAGUUUGUCGAUGAAUGUAUACAUAUAUAUAAAUUCAUACACACACAUUUCAUACUUAAAAAGACUGAGGCAGUUCUGCUAUAUAUAGUUAGCUACAAUAUCCAAGAUAAAACAAUUCCUACUCAAAAAAUUACAUGAACACACGAGAUAAGUUCUUAUCAUAAAUGCUCUCAUGAGGCUAUCUAGUAUAGCUCAUAUUUCCUGGUUCUAAGGCUCAAAACACAGGAAUUCCACUCCAAGAGAUAAUUUGCCCCUCAAUCCCCACAUACAAAGUGUAGUCUAAACAAACAAAAUGGUAAUAAAAAAUUGAAAAGGAAGAUAUAAAAAGAACUCAAUAGCAGGAUUCUGACUACCUCUGAAGACCACACACUAUCAUUAUUCCUGAUUGUCUUAAAUACAACAAUCCAACAUGCCCCAAGAUGGAAAUUUGGCAUCGUAGGGAAAACAUUGGCUAUGACUGUCAGAAAAGUUCGUAAUCUUAAACAUAAUUUAUGCCAUUUGCCAGUCACAAAGACAUUUACUGAACAGAAUUUUUGAGCCAUCUGUAAAAUUAAAAUGAUUGAAUCAAUUUGAAAAGCAAUCUUCAUGAUGAAGAAAUUAGGACUCUAGGUAUGAAAAGCACGUUCCUUUUUUGUUAAUAAAUUCAAAGGAGAGAAACAUUCUGAUAUAUACAGAUAAAAACAUGGCUAACAAGAAAGAGGGUAACCAGCAAGUACUACCUGGAUGUGUAAUGUCAGGAGGAAAGGAAGAAUAAAAUUCAGGUAAUUAAUAGAUUUAGCAAAGUAAAGUACAUGAAAGGAAGAAAUGUUUGAUAUGUCUAAAUAUCAAUGCCUUAGAUCAGAGUAAGAAAAAAAGUCAUUCAUUGUUCGUGUACACAGAUUAGAUAUCUAAAGAGAUACUUGGUGGGCAGGGGCUUGGGAUGGAGGGCGCAAAUUGGAAUGUUCAGCUUUUAAAGCAAAGACUGUACAUGAAGACAUAUUUUAAGUACAGUGAAGAUUGUCUUGUGUUACUUUAUAUCCCACCAUAAACCUAACCCCCAUCCUCAGACUAAGAGGGUAUCCAACGCUGAAUAAAUGCUGAAAAUAUUUAGUAGUUAAAGAAAAAAGAGAAGGAUCUUAAAGGUAUAUAUGGGAAGCUUUUGGAAGAGGUAGAGAAUCCAGUGGCGUAUAUAUUCUCUUCUAUUUGAUUUCAACUAGCAAGAGACUAAAAUUGAUGUUUGUUUUAUCUUCAAAGUCUUAGUUUUAAACUGACAAGGGCACGAAAAAAGUGAAAUUAAAAUAAUUUUAACAAAAGGGAAAGCGUUUGACAGUGUUUAAAAGACAGACAAAUCAAGCAAAACUGAAUGUGGCUUAAGGUAAAAAAUACAACUAGGUAUUAAACAAUUUGUAAAACCUUACAAAGAAAAUUUAACUUUCAAGAAAAAUUAGGUAGUCCUUCUGGCAGUGACAGGUCCUGAGGGAAAAAACAUAACCUCUACAAGACCAAGCACAGCUCAAGGGUCAGGGCCCCAUCCUAGUCAUCUUUUUAUUAUUCAAUAUCUACCACAGUGGCUGGGCAAACAACAGGCAUCAAUAAAUGGUUACUGACUGAAUGUGUAUUAUAAGGUAUCAUCAGUAUAACCGAUAUAGCUCAAAUCUAAUCAUGAAAGCUUCGUUAAAGUAGGAUAAAAAGAGCACAAUCAGUGGUAUUCCAGAAGGUAGGCCUAAAUCCAAUUAUAUUUUCUAAUCUCAACCAGUGGCUAUAAAGACUUUCUGAGCUUCUUUUUAAAGCAAUGAAACUCUUUCCAAAAGAAACCCCACGCAGUACUUCAAUACAGAAUAAAGAUGCCACUGGCUAGACCAAAGUCAAUGGGAACUCCAACAGCCUCCCCUAAGCCAGCCCCCAAGGUGUCUCUGUGGAACCUACUGGAAAAACUACUGCUCAUCUUAAAAAUGUGAUAGAAAGCAUACUCAUUCAGUUCUGAGGUCAUCACACCUAGAAAAUUAUCAGUACUGUGAAGAACAAAUCCUAAGUAAUGUUGCAAAUUUAAAUAAAGACAAAAUUUCAACAAAGAGGAGAUUCUAUCACUUAGAAAAAUGAAAACCACACUUAUAAAUGUGGGGGAGGGGCAGAAAACAAAAAAAACUUAGGCCACAGUAGAUAAAAUACAAAAAACAUCAUCUCAUUAAAAAACAUUAAACAUAUUCACACAAAUGUAAUUACGACCAUGAAGUAAACUGCUCGACAGGUGUAACUGCUCAACAGGUGUUUUCAAAGAGUCCCAAUUUCACACUGUAUAGAAAAAUCGCACCAGAACUGUAGAGAUGUGCUCCACUAUUGAAAUAGCAUGUAGGCACGGCUUCACUUAA